GGAGCCAGUUGAUUAUAUAUAUAAAAAGUUUUUUCCUUGAUAACCCCUUUAAUGAUUAAACUGUAUAUAUUCAGUUGUAUAAUUUUAUUGGAAACAGCACCAAUCUUUCCAGAUCUCCCGAAUCUUAUAUCAUACAUUUCCUAUAGUCCACGUGCUGCAGAUUUGGUAGGGUUGGGCAAUUCUUCACCUAUUAAUCACCUAUAGAAUUUUGGCCAAAGUCCCAUUCAAUUAUUCUCAUGUUGCAGCAUUACUUGGCUUAUCUGCCUGUCAGGAAAGCUGAAAUGUUGUAGCUUUGGCACCCAACUUUCCAGGAGUUCUGUUUCCUGUUAUGAUGUAAUACAUAAUUUUUCUUCUCAUAUUGUAGAAUUACUAAGCAGAUCCUGGGCACCAGAUCCUGUUAGUGUUUUAUAAACGAAAACAUAAUUCUCUGGUGCGGCAAGCAACAAAAGGGAGGGAGGUGGACUUAAAAAUCGUUCAUUAUUGUGUUCAUUAAUUGUAUUUCUUAUCAAAGUUAAUUAGAAAAAUUUGCAACAAUUCCGAAACAAUUCAUGUGACCAUGUGAAUAUGCCCUCAUUUACUAAGAGUAGACUGUCUGUUUGUGUUUGACUUUUGCUUUUCGGACCUUUUUUUUCUCUUGGUAUUUACUAAUCUGUCGCACUUUUCCCAAUCUUUUUAGUUGCAGGGAAAAAAUCUGCUGCAAUUGCUGUUGCUGGAUUCACCUGUCACAUGUAUAGUCAGAUGCUAUUGAUGACGACCUCCUAUAGGAAGACACAUCAGUGCCUGGUUGUGUUCACACUGUCAUCACGCUUAUGGAUGCUUUAUCAGCAGUUGUAUAGCCUGCGGUACUAUUCUUGUUGUCGAAGUGAUUACACCCCCUCACAAACCUCUAUGUAAGUCAAUGGGGUCCAUCAGGGUCCAUUAAUCUUAUUUAAUACGGAAAUGACAAAGCACUGUGUUGGAGUGUUGGCAUAUUAUGCUUUAAAUAUUGAAAUAUUAAAUAUACUGUUGGCGAUUUCAGGGACUGGCAUAUGACUGCACUAGUGUUGUUAGUGCUUGUGUUCAGUUCUCACGUUGAUCAUUUGCAGUCUCCAUGAAACCAAAGCAGCAUGUGACGCUGUGACAAGGCCGUCACCGGUGCCUCCUGACCCGGGCUGACAGCUGGCACCUCUCCUAUUGGGGGAUUGUUGGCGUGUCAAUCACUGCGAUGUGUAGGGAACAAUGAAAGUGUCAAAGAACAAAACUGAGCCGCAGACAGAAUGCGAAAACCUCCCUGUCCCUUCCACCCCCCUCUAUUGACUCAGUCUGCUACUCUGUCUAUCUUAUGUUCAUGUAUAUCCGUGAGUAUAUUGUACAUGCAUAUGGGAGGGGUUCAGGACCCCAACGUACAGAGAAUUGCAGAAAGAUUACGUAAUAGACAGUGGAUAGAUAGGCAAGAACUACAAAUAUACAUGGUCCAUGAAUGGGGAGAUGUGAUGGUUAGGGCAACAUUAUCCUGAACAUAUGAUUAUAUGCUUUAUAUAUCUAUAUGGCAAAUGUCUGUGGGCCAUAUAUAUUAAUUGACUCAACACAGUGAGGAUAAUAGUCUGGCACCGCCAAUAUAGAUCACUGAGAAAAUCCAUAUAUUAAUAU